rnacentral:rRNA from 1 species
UGGGGAAUCUUGCGCAAUGGGCGAAAGCCUGACGCAGCGACGCCGCGUGCGGGAAGAAGGCCUUCGGGUUGUAAACCGCUUUCAGGAGGGACGAAGCCACUCGGGUUAAUAGCCCAGAGGGUGACGGUACCUGAGGAAUAAGCACCGGCUAACUUCGUGCCAGCAGCCGCGGUAAUACGAAGGGUGCAAGCGUUAAUCGGAAUUACUGGGCGUAAAGCGUGCGUAGGCGGUGAUUUAAGUCUGCUGUGAAAUCCCCGGGCUCAACCUGGGAAUGGCAGUGGAUACUGGAUCGCUAGAGUGUGAUAGAGGAUGGUGGAAUUCCCGGUGUAGCGGUGAAAUGCGUAGAGAUCGGGAGGAACAUCAGUGGCGAAGGCGGCCAUCUGGAUCAACACUGACGCUGAGGCACGAAAGCGUGGGGAGCGAACAGGAUUAGAUACCC